rnacentral:lncRNA from 1 species
ACAAAGUGGCAUAAUAUCUACACCAAAAAUUUCAUUAUCAAAAUGCAGCAUCAUUCGUCCUUUUGCUUAGACCUAUAACGGCAUACAUAAUGAAGAUGAGUACGGAUUCAAAAUUAAAAUAUAACUAAUUUGAGCAGAAAUAAAGCUGACCUGCUCAUUUAGAAAACGGAUUCUUUGCUCCAUGCUAGGAAUCAUAACUUUGGGUGACAGAUCAAGAACAAA